UUUGGUUUUCCCUGUGACAGUUGCAAGAAUUGCUGGAAUACAUGCCAGGGCCUGAUUUUCCAACUGGAGGACUGAUUAUGGGAAACCUUGGGUAAGUUGGAACCAUUCCUUCACUAUCUGAAGCAUGGUUCAUUCUAGUAAGCUUGGAUGAAAAAGGGAUAGCCUCCUCCUUGUAGUAGUUCUUUCCUUGGUUUUUACCAGUUUCUGUAUAACGUUUGAAUAGGUUGUACUAAAGGGAUGCCUUCAAAUUGAAUGUGAUGAUGGGCAGUGGUGAUAUGUCUUAUGUUGCAUACUUGCUGCUAAAUUCAUGGGCAUCUUGGAGGCAUAUCGAACUGGGAAAGGACGCAUUGUGGUCAGAGGGAAAACUGAUAUUGAAUUGCUUGAUUCUAGAACAAAGAGAAGUGCAAUUAUCAUAAAGGAGUGAUUUUAUACUUUGGGAAUGAGUCAGAUCCCUCACCAAACCAACAAAUCAGCCCUCGUGGAGAAGAUAGCCAAACUUGUGGAAAAUAAGUAUUCAUAAUGGGCAACCUAAGCAGAUGGGUCUAAAGGAGUUGCUGCAGGUGACUACCUAAGUUUAAUCUCUUUAGUAUAAAUGCCCACCCACUGACCCACUUGCUCGCUCAUGCAUAUAUGCUAUUUUAAUAUAUUUGUAGGUAAGCUAUUUCAAGAAAAUGUUUUUCUUGCUGGAAUUUGUUUUCCCUUAAGAAAUCAUUUUGUAAUUCACGCUACUUGGGCUGCUGUUUUCAUGAGUUCUUACUUGACUUUAUAUGGUUUUUUAUGUGUUAUUGUUUUUAGUACACUGCUUUGUCUCCUUUAAUGUAAGUAUUAUUUGUAGAGGAACCACAUGCACUUUUAGGUACUGACAGUUUGACUAGUGUCGUAGUGUCUUUGAAAAAAUUGACAAGAGGUGAUGCAUUGAAAUCAACUACAAUUUGGAAAGUGUUCUUGGAUAGUGACAUUCUUAUGAUUUCUUUGAACGCAUUGAAAACUUAAAAGCAGAAAGAUAUUGUCCAAAC